rnacentral:lncRNA from 1 species
CGCAGAACGCCACCUCUGCAUGUGAUCCGUGGCGAUAUAACCACUGUACCACUCGGAUGGACCUAGCCGCCCUCCAAAGGGGUGCCACAGCCUAUAUGAAGGGGACUUAGGAUAGGCGUACGGAUCAAGAUGAAGGAUUGGCAUAAGAGAUAUAGUCGCAUAUAUGCAUGUUUAAAUAUGUAAAUAGAUAAUUUAUAGGUUUCCUUGUAAAUAGCUAGGAUUAGGUCGAAUCAGAUCUGUAAACCUGCCCCCAUCAAAAACC